UUCGUAGGGUGCGAGCGUUGUCCGGAAUUAUUGGGCGUAAAGAGCUCGUAGGCGGUUUGUCGCGUCUGCCGUGAAAGUCCGGGGCUCAACUCCGGAUCUGCGGUGGGUACGGGCAGACUAGAGUGAUGUAGGGGAGACUGGAAUUCCUGGUGUAGCGGUGAAAUGCGCAGAUAUCAGGAGGAACACCGAUGGCGAAGGCAGGUCUCUGGGCAUUAACUGACGCUGAGGAGCGAAAGCAUGGGGAGCGAACAGG
rnacentral:rRNA from 1 species